rnacentral:rRNA from 1 species
AGAGUUUGAUCAUGGCUCAGAACGUACGCUGGCGGCACGCCUUAUACAUGCAAGUCGAACGAAGUAGCAAUACUUAGUGGCAGACGGGUGAGUAACAUGUGGGUAUCUUCCCUUUGGUGAGGAAUAACACGAGGAAACUUGUGCUAAUACCUCAUAAGUCUUUACGGAGAAAGCUUUAUGCGCCAAUGGAUGAGCCCGCACUUGAUUAGUUUGUUGGUGGGGUAAUGGCCUACCAAGACUUUGAUCAAUAGCUGAUUUGAGAGGAUGAUCAGCCACAUUGGGACUGAGACACGGCCCAAACUCCUACGGGAGGCAGCAGUAAGGAAUCUUGCACAAUGGAGGAAACUCUGAUGCAGCGAUGCCGCGUGAGUGAAGAAGGCCUUUGGGUUGUAAAGCUCUUUCGUCGGGGAAGAAAAUGACUGUACCCGAAUAAGAAGGUCCGGCUAACUUCGUGCCAGCAGCCGCGGUAAUACGAAGGGACCUAGCGUAGUUCGGAAUUACUGGGCUUAAAGAGUUCGUAGGUGGUUAAAAAAGUUGGUAGUGAAAUCCCAGAGCUUAACUCUGGAACUGCUAUCAAAACUUUUUAGCUAGAGUAUGAUAGAGGAAAGCAGAAUUUCUAGUGUAGAGGUGAAAUUCGUAGAUAUUAGAAAGAAUACCAAUUGCGAAGGCAGCUUUCUGGAUCAUUACUGACACUGAGGAACGAAAGCAUGGGUAGCGAAGAGGAUUAGAUACCCUCGUAGUCCAUGCUGUAAACGAUGUGUGUUAGACGUUGGAAAUUUAUUUUCAGUGUCGCAGCGAAAGCGAUAAACACACCGCCUGGGGAGUACGACCGCAAGGUUAAAACUCAAAUGAAUUGACGGGGACCCGCACAAGUAGUGGAGCAUGUGGUUUAAUUCGAAGAUACGCGCAGAACCUUACCAACACUUGACAUGUUCGUCGCGACUUUAAGAGAUUAAAGUUUUCGGUUCGGCCGGACGAAACACAGGUGCUGCAUGGCUGUCGUCAGCUCGUGUCGUGAGAUGUUGGGUUAAGUCCCGUAACGAGCGCAACCCUCACUUUUAGUUGCCAUCAUUAAGUUGGGCACUCUGAAAGAACUGCCAGUGAUAAGCUGGAGGAAGGUGGGGAUGACGUCAAGUCCUCAUGGCCCUUACGUGUUGGGCUACACACGUGCUACAAUGGUAUCUACAACAGGAAGCAAGACUGCGAAGUUAAGCAAAUCCUUAAAAGAUACCUCAGUUCGGAUUGCACUCUGCAACUCGAGUGCAUGAAGCUGGAAUUACUAGUAAUCGUGGAUCAGCGUGCCACGGUGAAUGCGUUCCCGGGUCUUGUAGACAC